rnacentral:tRNA from 1 species
GCGUUCUUAGUUCAGUUGGAUAGAACAUCAACCUUCUAAGUUGGAUGUCACUGGUUCGAUUCCAGUAGAACGUA